UUUUUUUACCUCCGUCACCUGAUCUUAAUAAACCACGCCCGGCCUCUUUAAUAAAGAGUGGGGAGGGGGGCAGAGAGAAAAGACGGGAAGAAGCAGAGCCGUGAUCUCGCGAGAACGGAGAGAAGCAGGCCAUAGGCUGAGGCCGUUGAGGGGCUUUCUCCCCCCCUUUUUUUUAACCGUAGCUUUUUAACCGAUUUGUGUUCGUUCUCACGUCACGGGGCUGAACAGCUAAAAGCGAAAUACAGUGGUACCUCGGGUUACAGGAAAAUGCGAAGGAAAAUUCAAUGAAUGUUGGAUUCAUCACUAACUCAUAGUAAUGCAGAUGAGAAAAGGAUUUUAAUUUGCAGAAGUCAAAAUAAUACAAGGGAGUUUAUAUAAUAAACCAAGUUACUAAUUUUAUGCAAAGCAUUUUAAUAAAGAUACUAACAUUAAUGACACAAAAGGUCAAACUCCCUUUGGUUUCUUUUAAACAUACAUCAUUAUGCGUAUCCUGUAAAGCCAGCAGUUACAACUGUCUGUUAACAUAGCUUUCUUUCUUCAAAGUUCGGUGAAUUUCCAUGUAAAUGAUAUGAAACAAGCUACUUCAUCUGUCAAGGUAAAACUAUGAGAACAAUCAUAUCUUCCUGCGUGCAGAAAGUCCAGAGAAACUUUGCAAAUGAAUGCACAGUAUGGGAUACAAGGGAGGAAAGCUACCACAAUAGGAAUAUUUUCUCAUGUUUUCUCAUGUUUCAGCAAGUAUGAUCCGAAGAGGAGCUGGAUUGUUUUUGUUACAGGGCAAAAAAGCCUUAAAAAAAUAUUUUGAAAUUUUCUAAGAUCAUGCCACUGUAAUUACCCUGUGUGUAACUUUUAGAAUAAAACUAUAUUAUCCUGUA